UCCCCAGUCAGCUGCAGGUACACCUGGUCCUACAGCUCUGCCCUGUGCUUGGGGAUCACACAUACUCGGCCCGUGUGGGCACCGUCCUGGGCCAGCGCUUUCUACUGCCCGCCGAGAGCACCAAGCCCCAAAGACAGGUUCUGGAUGAAGCCCUCCUCAGACGCCUCCACCUGACCCCAGCCCAGGCUGCCCAGCUGCCCUUGCAUCUCCACCUGCAUUGUCUCCAUCUUCCAGGCAUGAGGCCCAGGGAGGCCCCCAUGAAGCUUCUGGCACCCCUGCCCCCUUAUUUUUCCAGGACCCUACAGUGCCUGGGGCUCCACCAACAAUAGUCCUCUUUCUGUUCCUUCUGUUUCCACUGGAAAGCAGUGGGGAUGGGGUGGGGGGUGGGGCGGAAGGAUGAACCUACGGUAUCAGGCUUGAGGAGAAUGCAGUCAGUGCGCAACAUGCACUAAGGCCAUGCUUUAAGGUCCUGGGCUCUGCAUUCGGACAAACCUAAGCUCAAAGCCUGGCUAGGCCACUUGCUGUACGGUAUCAGGCAGAUGACUUCAUCUCUCUGGACGGGAAUUAAUAAAAGUACCUACCUCAUAGUGUGGUUUUGAGGAUUUGCUGAGAAAGUAAACGUUUAUCAUGGA